GCGCACCGACUAUUCGGGCCGCUUCUUAUGCCAUUGUCAAACCAUCCACCAUGUUUCAAAAGAUGGAAAACCUUAAGAAACUUAGAGGCCAUCGGAAUGCUGUCUAUUGCGCAAUAUUUGACCGAUUAGGGAGAUAUGUUAUUACUGGUUCGGAUGACCUUGUGAAAAUUGUUCGAUGGAAACUGCUCUAUGCUUGGCCAGCUGUCGCGGACACGAUGGUGACAUUACAGACCUUGAUGUGAGCUUCAACAAUUUAUUU